rnacentral:misc_RNA from 1 species
UUUACAAUAUAAGUCAUUCUAGCAUUUCCCACAUUCAUAUUGAUGCUAAUGAAUCGAUUCAUUAGCAUCAAUAUGAAUGUGGGAAAUGCUAGAAUGAAUUAUCUAGAUUCAUUAGCAUCAAUAUGAAUGUGGGAAAUGCUAGAAUGACUUACAUUGUGAA